CUACUACAAAUAAUGUCAGCCACUACCAAAGUCCUACGUUGAUCUGGAUUGCAGAGCUGUCUAUGCAUGUCUCAGACGGUGCUUAUCUACCUGAAUGCCUAUAGGCCAAAUGCAACACUGAAAAACAGAUUUUAGUACCGUAUUUAAAUUACAAUUUAAGAAUUAUUGUAAACACCCUCCUGAGUAUGCCACAAUAUGGGGUACAUAACAUGAUGAGCACCCAGUCCCACCUUAUCAAGUCUAAUUCUGAGUACACUAUUGUUUACAUCAAUGAGUAGUGGCCGGGUUGAUUUACAGCAGCCUGUAAAAUGUGGCCAAUUAUCCAUUACAUCUCAG